rnacentral:rRNA from 1 species
GGACUACAGGGGUAUCUAAUCCUGUUCGCUCCCCACGCUUUCGCGCCUCAGCGUCAGUGCCGGCCCAGACCACCGCCUUCGCCACCGGUGUUCUUCCUGAUAUCUGCGCAUUUCACCGCUACACCAGGAGUUCCAUGGUCCCCUACCGGACUCUAGCCAUGGCAGUAUCGGGUGGCAUCUCCAGGUUGAGCCUGGAGGUUUCACACCCGACUUGCCAAGCCGCCUACGCGCUCUUUACGCCCAAUGAAUCCGGACAACGCUCGCUCCCUACGUAUUACCGCGGCGGCUGGCAC